rnacentral:rRNA from 1 species
AUGGCGGCCACGCCGUUGCUGUCGGGGGAGGACACGACGACGCCGUUGCAUGGCGUCGUCGUGAUCGCCCUCCCGGACCACGCCGACGGCGGGGGCCGGGACGCGUCGCCCAGGAGCGAGGCGCCGGCGCCGGCGGCCCUGGGACGGGCGUGGAGGCUGCUGCGGCUGGCCACGGCGCCGCUGGUGGUGCUCGCGGCGUUCGCGGUGGCGGCGCACUGCUACGGCCUCUACUCCUUCUCCUUCUCCGGGGAGGAGGACUGGAAAUGGGGCGAGGGGCGCGCCUCCUCCUUCCUCCUGCCGCUGCACCCCAAGCCCAAGCCCGCCGCCGCCGGCGUCAAGGCCGCGGCGGCGGAGAGGGAUUCGACCACGGCCGUGCUGCCGGAGAGGCAGUACUACACUUCUGUAAACAUUGGCAAUCCUGCAAGGCCCUAUUUCCUUGAUAUUGAUACAGGAAGUGCACUCACAUGGAUCCAGUGUGAUGCUCCCUGCACAAAUUGCACAAAGGGGCCUCAUCCUUUGUAUAAGCCCGCAAAAGAAAACAUAGUUCCACCUAAGGAUUCACAUUGUCAGGAAUUGCAAGGCAACCAAAAUUACUGUGACACCUGCAAACAAUGCGACUAUGAGAUCGCGUAUGCGGACCGAAGCUCCUCUGCCGGCGUGCUUGCGAGGGACAACAUGCGACUGGUCACCGCGGACGGUGAGAGGGAAAACAUGGACUUCGUCUUCGGGUGUGCACAUGAUCAACAAGGAAAGCUUCUAGACUCACCAGCAAGUACUGAUGGGAUCCUUGGCCUCAGCAACGGGGCAAUGAGCCUCCCUACCCAGCUAGCCAAGCAAGGGAUCAUUUCCAACGUUUUCGGCCAUUGCAUCGCCACGGAUCCCAGCAGUAGUGGCUACAUGUUUCUCGGUGAUGAUUACGUUCCCAGAUGGGGAAUGACAUGGGUUCCCAUCCGCAACGGUCCAGAGGACGUGUACAGCACGAUAGUACAGAAAGUGAACUAUGGAGGUCAGGAGCUUAAUGUGCGAGAGCAGGCUGGGAAGCUGACUCAAGUGAUCUUCGACAGCGGGAGCUCAUACACUUAUUUUCCGCAUGAAAUAUACACAAGCCUGAUUGCUUCGCUCGAAGCGGUCUCUCCAGGCUUUGUACACGAUAAAUCAGAUCAAACGCUGCCUUUUUGCAUGAAGCCUAAUUUUCCAGUGAGGUCUGUGGAUGAUGUGAAGCAACUGUUCAAGCCCUUGCUCCUGCAUUUCAGCAAAGCAUGGCUUGUGAUCCCAAGAACGUUCGCAAUUUCUCCCGAGAACUACUUGAUCAUCAGCGACAAGGGCAAUGUCUGCCUAGGGGUGCUUGAUGGAACAGAGAUUGGCCACAGCUCAACAAUAGUAAUUGGAGAUGUUUCCCUCCGUGGGAAGUUAGUUGCGUAUGACAACGACGAGAAUCAGAUCGGAUGGGCUCAGUCAGACUGCAGCAGGCCACAGAAAGCAAGCAUGGUUCCGUUCUUCCUUUCGAAAGCAUUGCGCAGUCAACUUCUUUAA